AUGGCGCCGUGGACACCAUCGCCCGUCGCCGCCACCGCCGCCGCCGCCUCCCAGGCCCAGCUCGGCUUCUCGGCCGCCCGCCCGGCGCAGGCGCGGCAGGCCGCCGUCCUGCCGCCUCUCGCCCGCAGGUUCCCCGGCUCCUCCCUCCUCGCCGUCAACGCCCCCGCCCCCUCCCCCUCGUGGAGGCGCCAUGCCCUCGCCACCGAGGUCGAGGGCCUCAACAUCGCCGACGACGUCACGCAGCUCAUCGGCAAGACGCCCAUGGUGUAUCUCAACAAGAUUGUCAAGGGCUGUGUCGCCAACGUCGCCGCCAAGCUUGAGAUUAUGGAGCCCUGCUGUAGUGUCAAGGACAGGAUAGGAAUCAGUAUGAUUUCCGACGCUGAAGAGAAGGGCUUGAUAACACCCGGAAAGAGUGUUUUGGUGGAAGCAACAAGUGGAAACACAGGAAUUGGUCUUGCUUUCAUUGCUGCUUCCAGGGGAUAUAAGUUGAUACUGACAAUGCCCACAUCAAUGAGCAUGGAGAGGAGAGUCCUACUCAAGGCUUUUGGCGCUGAACUUGUGCUCACAGAUGCUGCAAAAGGGAUGAAAGGGGCCCUAGAUAAAGCUACAGAGAUCUUGAAUAAGACACCCAAUUCAUACAUGCUUGAGCAGUUUGACAACCCUGCCAACCCAAAGGUACAUUAUGAGACUACUGGGCCAGAAAUCUGGGAGGAUUCAAAAGGGAAGGUAGAUAUAUUCAUUGGUGGAAUCGGAACGGGCGGAACAAUAUCUGGUGCUGGUCGUUUCCUGAAGGAGAAAAAUCCCGAUGUCAAGGUUAUUGGUGUUGAACCUACUGAAAGUAACAUACUCUCUGGUGGUAAACCCGGCCCACAUAAGAUUCAAGGCAUUGGAGCAGGAUUUGUUCCUAGGAAUUUGGACAGUGAUGUUCUCAAUGAAGUAAUUGAGAUAUCAAGCGAUGAGGCCGUUGAAACAGCAAAGCAGUUGGCUCUUCAGGAAGGAUUGCUGGUCGGGAUCUCGUCUGGGGCAGCCGCGGCCGCUGCCAUAAAGGUCGCCCAGAGACCCGAGAACGCCGGGAAGCUGAUAGUGGUGGUGUUCCCGAGCUUCGGCGAGAGGUACCUGUCGUCGGUGCUGUUCCAGUCCAUCAGAGAAGAGUGCGAGAAGAUGGAGGCCGAAGCGUGA
rnacentral:rRNA from 1 species